rnacentral:rRNA from 1 species
CGGGUGAGUAACACGUAUCCAACCUGCCGUCUACUCUUGGACAGCCUUCUGAAAGGAAGAUUAAUACAAGAUGGCAUCAUGAGUUCACAUGUUCACAUGAUUAAAGGUAUUCCGGUAGACGAUGGGGAUGCGUUCCAUUAGAUAGUAGGCGGGGUAACGGCCCACCUAGUCUUCGAUGGAUAGGGGCUCUGAGAGGAAGGUCCCCCACAUUGGAACUGAGACACGGUCCAA